ACGUUUUGUAUUUAUGAGUCAAUUUGCUUGAGGGAAUGUUUCGUUUUCUAUGAAGUAGGCUAUACAUAGUAUUAUGUUAUAAAUUUGAAUUUUUAUCAUGACUGUUGUCGCCGAAACUAUCUUCCUAAUUCUUAUUGAACUGAAUAAAUAGCUUCAUACUGCUGCCCUAUUUCCAUUUAAAAUGGACACCUGCCAAUUGCUAUUCUACUUCAGAAACCCGGCCGGGUUAUUUCCAAUAUAGCCUCUUAUGAGAACUGGAAACGCCAUGUUCCCUGCAAUAUACCUUUGCCAGAGGAAGUUGCUUGAAUUCCUACACAGGAUCCUGGUAAACUCCAUUCAUCGAGCAUGGAAAAAAUCUAGAUGCUAAUCUAGGUUUGUUUUAAUCUUGAUGAAGUCAUGCAUUUUGCCAAUUCUUCAACGCUCUGAAUUCUACAAAUUGAUAACUGGAUGGUAAAAACUGACGUAUUUAGUAUGCUUGGAUGACUUUGGAGAUCUUGGUUUGGAAGAAGCUGUAGGACUAAAAACUUGUGUUGGAUCUUUCAAGCCCUCAGAUAUAUUGUAUUCUAAUAUGUUGCCUACCGAUGCUGUAGAACUCAUUUCGACAUUGUUAUCAGAUUCCCGAGUUUGUUUAACCUUUUUUUUUCUUGAAGGGUUUACAGAUGUACAUGGAAUGCAGUGUUAGCAGAAGGAAGCAAUUUUGUUUAAAUUGAGUAACUGAGUUUUUGUGAGUUUGUUUAAACUUUUUAGUAUUCAAUGUUGGUUUCACAGUGAAGACAACAUUGCAACUCUGUUGGGAAUUUAAGAAGUGAUGCGACGUAAAAUUUUGAAGUCUUUUCAGAAUUUGUGGCAGUUUCUGUUCUAACAGGGGAGCCUUUCCUAACUUUUCCGUAUGUGUAACAAGUUUUAAAGCAGUUAAAUCAGGUGAAGCAGAAAUGCCUUCACAAACUGGUGCAGCAGAGCGAGGAGGAGACUUUGGCAAAUCAUUUGAACUAGAUGCUAUUGGAGCAGUCCCACGGUUUCAAGUUAAUGCCAAAAGUUAGAUCCAUUAGAUCCUAUUGAGUACAUAUGGUAGAUGAUUUUUGAACAGCAGAAGCAUAACUGUUUCCAGGGUAGGAGUUAUAGAUUUUAUCAGCUUUCGGGCUACCUGAUAAGACAUUUGAUAUUUUUAUUUUAGUUGAAAGGAUUUCUUUUCCCUAUUUCCAGGUAAAACAGUUUAGAGAGAAAGAAGUGCCCCCCCCUCCAGUUGCAAUUUAUACACUUCUCUUGAACAGUGCAGUCAGUACUAUCAUGGCCAACUUCUGCACAACGAUGUCAGAGUCCAGCGGCAAGAAGUUUUAGAAUGCCCAAAACGCUGGCACUUGAAACAGCGUAAUGAUUUGGAAUAUAAGGUGUAAUAACAAGGCGUAUAUAUCCAGCUUUUAUGUGUUUGGGCAGUUUAGAAACUGAAUGUCAAAAUUAGAUGUUCAAUAUUCAGGAGCUCGCCAUCCCUUCGGUACAAUGCCACUUGACAAACUCAUGUACUAUCUCGAGUUCACCUGAUAUUUAUCUGAUUUAGAAUACAUGUAGAGAGACAUAAUAAUUAUUAGUUUUUCUUUCUAUUCCGUUAUGUUCUGAAUAGCAAGGCCUGAAUUUCAGAAUAUUUAAAGUAUGAAAUUACAAAGGAUCAGUAUACAGGUAAUAGAGUUAACAAAGUCUUUCAUUUUAUCUGUGAAUUUUCAAAAAGGUUUGGAAAUUUAUUCCGUGUAUUCGACAGGAAAUUCUAAAUAUUACAUUCUGUUUAAUUUAGUUAUUAAUCCUUUUACAUAAUACU